rnacentral:lncRNA from 1 species
CUGUGUGGCAGGAAGAUGUCUCCUCACCUUGGAAGAGUUUUCUGACAUAGCCCUCAUUGCUCACAAUGUAUUCAAUGCCUCUGUGGGAGUUCAUGACUGCUCUCACACAGUUAAUGCAGGUGAGCUGUAGCAAGGCGUCAGAAAUUCUGGCCACCCCUCUGCCAGACAGCCUGUCCAGAGCCUCCAGGAGGAGGUCCAAUCCACACAGCUCCAGGAACUGGACCAUCCAAGCAUCAUCACUGUUCUCCAGACGCUUCUUCAGCCCAGAGUAGUUCACCACCGAUGGCAUUUGCAGGAGGCGGAUGCACAGCUCCGGCUCUGCAUUUUCCAGGUUGGCCUCCGACUGGUCGGUAUCCUGGGGCCCGAGUUUCUCCUUCAGGGCAGCCCACUUCUUGUGGGCACCUUCCUUUUUGAUUGACAUUGUGAACUGCUUGUCCGCGGCGGUCUCCUGCGGACUGGGGGCGGCGGGCGCGCAGCCUGCAGCGGGCAGCCAACCUCCACCGGAGCACGCACCCACCGGGCUCUGCCCGUCCGCCCGCCGCGGCGGCCG